CCUACGGGAGGCAGCAGUGGGGAAUUUUGGACAAUGGGCGCAAGCCUGAUCCAGCAAUGCCGCGUGAGUGAAGAAGGCCUUCGGGUUGUAAAGCUCUUUUGUCAGGGAAGAAACGGUGAAGGCUAAUAUCUUUUGCUAAUGACGGUACCUGAAGAAUAAGCACCGGCUAACUACGUGCCAGCAGCCGCGGUAAUACGUAGGGUGCAAGCGUUAAUCGGAAUUACUGGGCGUAAAGCGUGCGCAGGCGGUUUUGUAAGUUUGUCGUGAAAUCCCCGGGCUCAACCUGGGAAUGGCGAUGAAGACUGCAAGGCUAGAAUCUGGCAGAGGGGGGUAGAAUUCCACGUGUAGCAGUGAAAUGCGUAGAGAUGUGGAGGAACACCGAUGGCGAAGGCAGCCCCCUGGGUCAAGAUUGACGCUCAUGCACGAAAGCGUGGGGAGCAAACAGGAUUAGAUACCCUGGUAGUCCGCGCCCUAAACGNUGUCUACUAGUUGUCGGUUUUAAUACUUGGUAACGNAGCUACGCGUGAAGUAGACCGCGUGGGGAGUACGGUCGCAAGAUUAAAACCNCGAAAGGAUUGGACGGCUAGAGACGUACGCGACGACGACGACGAGGGAGGAGG
rnacentral:rRNA from 1 species